CUGAAAACAAGACAACAAUACAAAGUAAGUCAUUUUUUGCAGUGUGACUCCAUUGAAUGUUCUUGUGUGUUAAAGAAAGUCUCUCUUUUUGUGUGUGGUGUUGUGUGAUGUAGAUUAAAUAUGACCGGGCCAAAACGGACAUGGCAGCAGGUCAAAAUCAAAAUCUGCAGAAUGCAGUGAAAAAGAAUACCCAGAGACAAGGCACGGGUGGUGGGUCACCAAAAGCUGACCUCAUCCCAGCAGAGGCCAGCUUUGGAGUUAAAUAAAGGCAGGCCUGUUGGAGGGAAUCCCUGCGGGAAAAGAGACAAGCAUAGGUCCCUCACAAGAUGCCACCCGCUUCAUACAAGGUAUGUUCUUCCAUCUCUACAUGGGACACAAUCACAUUCAUAUUGACUCUAUUUGGACUGUCUGACUUUGGUUUGCCUAUUGCCUUGUAGUGUCUGGCAGCACUGUGUUACUGUUAAAGCCACCAGCACGAGCACCUGACGAUGCUGAUCCAAUGAGUACUCCAUCAAAGGCAUACUGUAGGCCUGGCAUGUCUUGUCUACUAGCUUCAAUAUGAAUCCGAUUAAAUGUGAUGGGGUCAAGGCCCCAUUUCAUCAGCACAUAACGGCGAUGAUGAUGAGGAGACCAUCUCGCUGGAUUCUAAAAGGCAUAAGGUAUCAUGUCAAACUUGUGAAAGUACUAUACAAAGGAGUCAUCAUUGGGAGCCAUCACAAAAUCUCAUUUCUUUUACAGGACCCAGAGUCAUUGGUGCACUGGACUGCACAAACAUAAGGAUAAAAUCCCCCUCAGGUGCCCAUGAGGCAGAUUUUGUAAAUAUGAAAUCUUUUUACAGCAUUAAUGUUCAGGUGAACAUAACUUUUUGAUCUUUUCCAUUGAACACUGGCAAAAUGGCCUGGCUCAGUCCAUGACUCCAGAAUCUUUCGAACCUCUGAAAUCUAUCAGCGCCUAUCACAAGGUGAAUUCUCGGGUGUGUUGCUGAGAGACAGGGGGUAUGGCUGCCAGCCGUUUUUCCUGACACCUUUUACAGACCCCCAGGAAGCACAGCCGGCCUACAACUAUGCCCAUGUUAGGGUCAGAGUUGAAAUGACCUUUGGCCUCCUGAAGGCACGCUCUCACUGCCUUCACAAAUUAAGGGUCAGCCCUGUGAGGGCAUGUGACAUUACUGUGGCUUGUGCUGUCCUCCACAAUGUGGCCUGCCUGAGGAAGGAGAGGGC